rfam:Trichobilharzia regenti genome assembly, scaffold: TRE_scaffold0034907
AUUCAUUUGACGAGUCCCAAAUAGGACGAAAUGCGCUUCCUGGUGGAU